rnacentral:lncRNA from 1 species
CUGAAGAAGACAAGGUAAACCCUGACCCUGGAGAAGACAAGGCAAACCCUGAACUCGAAGAAGACAACGUAAAGUCGGACCCUGAAACAAGGGAUCUCUUUACAACCACUUAGCAUUCAUGAUCAUAACUAUCACAUGAUGUUUGUGGGUAACGUCUCUGGAAACCUUCACGAGACUUCACUCGUCCCAUCAGGGUCACCUAUGGGUUUAAAAGGCUUGUUGCAUGUGCUCAAUGCAAUUGAGUUCCCUGCGAAAGUGGCAUUAGUUUUCAUCACUAGUUUUUCUUAUUUUUAGUUUCCAAGUAUUUUAGUUUCACUGUAUUGUGUGUGUGUUAAACCAAUUAAAACUAAUUGUAUCAGCUCUGUGGUUAUGUCCUUUAUGUAGUAGCUAGUGUGUUCAAUAAAAGUUGUGUUUCUUGGGAAUUCUUGCUUUUAAUGACGUACAUAUCACUUUAUUUCCACAUUUCAGUAGCUUUAAGUACUAAUUAAACUAAUUAAGAAACCGAGAAGGAACUCCAAACUUGCCACUCUCUUCUAAAUAAGUGAGAAGGGAAGAUUGGUACCUUGCAUCAACUUAGGAAUCGAUCCGGUGGAGGAUUAGUAUUGUAGUGCAAUCUAUUUUCAUGCAUCUUACACCAAUCAAUAUGACAGGCCUUAGAAAACUUUGUGAAUAUAAAAGUAUAAACCUUUCGGAAAUGUGUCUGUAGUUUUCAAUUUUCCGUUAACU